GCAGACGUCGCUUAGCCUGGUAUAGCGCCGGAUUUGAAAUCCGGUGUCCCUUGGACUCGGGAGUUCAAAUCUCUCCGUCUGCGCCA
rnacentral:tRNA from 5 species